GAGGGGCCCGCACAAGCGGUGGAGCAUGUGGUUUAAUUCGACGCUACGCGAAGAACCUUACCUGGGCUUGAACUGCUGGUGGUAGAAGCCCGAAAGGGUAACGACCCGGAGCAAUCCGGGAGCCAGUAGAGGUGCUGCAUGGCUGUCGUCAGCUCGUGUCGUGAGAUGUUGGGUUAAGUCCCGCAACGAGCGCAACCCUUACCCUUAGUUGCCAGCGGGUAAUGCCGGGCACUCUAAGGGGACCGCCCGGAUAACGGGGAGGAAGCGGGGAUGACGUCAAGUCAGCAUGGCCUUUAUGUCCGGGGCUACACACGUGCUACAAUGGGCGAUACAGAGGGAAGCAAGGCCGCAAGGUAGAGCUAAUCCCUAAAGUCGUCCUCAGUUCGGAUUGCAGGCUGCAACUCGCCUGCAUGAAGUCGGAAUCGCUAGUAAUCGCGGAUCAGCUACGCCGCGGUGAAUACGUUCCCGGGCCUU
rnacentral:rRNA from 1 species